CGGCGGACGGGUGAGUAAUGCCUAGGAAUCUGCCUGGUAUGGGGGACAACGUUUCGAAAGGAACGCUAAUACCGCAUACGUCCUACGGGAGAAAGCAGGGGACCUUCGGGCCUUGCGCUAUCAGAUGAGCCUAGGUCGGAUUAGCUAGUUGGUGAGGUAAUGGCUCACCAAGGCGACGAUCCGUAACUGGUCUGAGAGGAUGAUCAGUCACACUGGAACUGAGACACGGUCCAGACUCCUACGGGAGGCAGCAGUC
rnacentral:rRNA from 1 species